UACGGAGGGGGCUAGCGUUGUUCGGAAUUACUGGGCGUAAAGCGCACGUAGGCGGCUUUGUAAGUUAGGGGUGAAAGCCCAGGGCUUAACCCUGGAAUUGCCUUUAAGACUGCAUCGCUAGAAUUGUGGAGAGGUAAGUGGAAUUCCGAGUGUAGAGGUGAAAUUCGUAGAUAUUCGGAAGAACACCAGUGGCGAAGGCGACUUACUGGACACAUAUUGACGCUGAGGUGCGAAAGCGUGGGGAGCAAACAGG
rnacentral:rRNA from 1 species